rfam:Pan troglodytes isolate Yerkes chimp pedigree #C0471 (Clint) chromosome 7, whole genome shotgun sequence.
GCCAGGCAUGGUGGCGCAUGCCUGUAGUCCCAGCUACUUGGGAGGCUGAGGCAGGAAAAUUGCUUGAACCCAGGAGGUGGAGGUUGCAGUGAGCUGAGAUUGUGCCACUGUACCCCAGCCUGGGUGACAGAGUGAGACUCUGUCUCAA